rnacentral:rRNA from 1 species
GGUUAAGCGACUAAGCGUACACGGUGGAUGCCCUGGCAGUCAGAGGCGAUGAAGGACGUGCUAAUCUGCGAUAAGCGUCGGUAAGGUGAUAUGAACCGUUAUAACCGGCGAUUUCCGAAUGGGGAAACCCAGUGUGUUUCGACACACUAUCAUUAACUGAAUCCAUAGGUUAAUGAGGCGAACCGGGGGAACUGAAACAUCUAAGUACCCCGAGGAAAAGAAAUCAACCGAGAUUCCCCCAGUAGCGGCGAGCGAACGGGGAGCAGCCCAGAGCCUGAAUCAGUGUGUGUGUUAGUGGAAGCGUCUGGAAAGGCGCGCGAUACAGGGUGACAGCCCCGUACACAAAAAUGCACAUGCUGUGAGCUCGAUGAGUAGGGCGGGACACGUGGUAUCCUGUCUGAAUAUGGGGGGACCAUCCUCCAAGGCUAAAUACUCCUGACUGACCGAUAGUGAACCAGUACCGUGAGGGAAAGGCGAAAAGAACCCCGGCGAGGGGAGUGAAAAAGAACCUGAAACCGUGUACGUACAAGCAGUGGGAGCACGCUUAGGCGUGUGACUGCGUACCUUUUGUAUAAUGGGUCAGCGACUUAUAUUCUGUAGCAAGGUUAACCGAAUAGGGGAGCCGAAGGGAAACCGAGUCUUAACUGGGCGUUAAGUUGCAGGGUAUAGACCCGAAACCCGGUGAUCUAGCCAUGGGCAGGUUGAAGGUUGGGUAACACUAACUGGAGGACCGAACCGACUAAUGUUGAAAAAUUAGCGGAUGACUUGUGGCUGGGGGUGAAAGGCCAAUCAAACCGGGAGAUAGCUGGUUCUCCCCGAAAGCUAUUUAGGUAGCGCCUCGUGAAUUCAUCUCCGGGGGUAGAGCACUGUUUCGGCAAGGGGGUCAUCCCGACUUACCAACCCGAUGCAAACUGCGAAUACCGGAGAAUGUUAUCACGGGAGACACACGGCGGGUGCUAACGUCCGUCGUGAAGAGGGAAACAACCCAGACCGCCAGCUAAGGUCCCAAAGUCAUGGUUAAGUGGGAAACGAUGUGGGAAGGCCCAGACAGCCAGGAUGUUGGCUUAGAAGCAGCCAUCAUUUAAAGAAAGCGUAAUAGCUCACUGGUCGAGUCGGCCUGCGCGGAAGAUGUAACGGGGCUAAACCAUGCACCGAAGCUGCGGCAGCGACACUAUGUGUUGUUGGGUAGGGGAGCGUUCUGUAAGCCUGUGAAGGUGUGCUGUGAGGCAUGCUGGAGGUAUCAGAAGUGCGAAUGCUGACAUAAGUAACGAUAAAGCGGGUGAAAAGCCCGCUCGCCGGAAGACCAAGGGUUCCUGUCCAACGUUAAUCGGGGCAGGGUGAGUCGACCCCUAAGGCGAGGCCGAAAGGCGUAGUCGAUGGGAAACAGGUUAAUAUUCCUGUACUUGGUGUUACUGCGAAGGGGGGACGGAGAAGGCUAUGUUGGCCGGGCGACGGUUGUCCCGGUUUAAGCGUGUAGGCUGGUUUUCCAGGCAAAUCCGGAAAAUCAAGGCUGAGGCGUGAUGACGAGGCACUACGGUGCUGAAGCAACAAAUGCCCUGCUUCCAGGAAAAGCCUCUAAGCAUCAGGUAACAUCAAAUCGUACCCCAAACCGACACAGGUGGUCAGGUAGAGAAUACCAAGGCGCUUGAGAGAACUCGGGUGAAGGAACUAGGCAAAAUGGUGCCGUAACUUCGGGAGAAGGCACGCUGAUAUGUAGGUGAAGUCCCUCGCGGAUGGAGCUGAAAUCAGUCGAAGAUACCAGCUGGCUGCAACUGUUUAUUAAAAACACAGCACUGUGCAAACACGAAAGUGGACGUAUACGGUGUGACGCCUGCCCGGUGCCGGAAGGUUAAUUGAUGGGGUUAGCCGCAAGGCGAAGCUCUUGAUCGAAGCCCCGGUAAACGGCGGCCGUAACUAUAACGGUCCUAAGGUAGCGAAAUUCCUUGUCGGGUAAGUUCCGACCUGCACGAAUGGCGUAAUGAUGGCCAGGCUGUCUCCACCCGAGACUCAGUGAAAUUGAACUCGCUGUGAAGAUGCAGUGUACCCGCGGCAAGACGGAAAGACCCCGUGAACCUUUACUAUAGCUUGACACUGAACAUUGAGCCUUGAUGUGUAGGAUAGGUGGGAGGCUUAGAAGUGUGGACGCCAGUCUGCAUGGAGCCGACCUUGAAAUACCACCCUUUAAUGUUUGAUGUUCUAACGUUGACCCGUAAUCCGGGUUGCGGACAGUGUCUGGUGGGUAGUUUGACUGGGGCGGUCUCCUCCUAAAGAGUAACGGAGGAGCACGAAGGUUGGCUAAUCCUGGUCGGACAUCAGGAGGUUAGUGCAAUGGCAUAAGCCAGCUUGACUGCGAGCGUGACGGCGCGAGCAGGUGCGAAAGCAGGUCAUAGUGAUCCGGUGGUUCUGAAUGGAAGGGCCAUCGCUCAACGGAUAAAAGGUACUCCGGGGAUAACAGGCUGAUACCGCCCAAGAGUUCAUAUCGACGGCGGUGUUUGGCACCUCGAUGUCGGCUCAUCACAUCCUGGGGCUGAAGUAGGUCCCAAGGGUAUGGCUGUUCGCCAUUUAAAGUGGUACGCGAGCUGGGUUUAGAACGUCGUGAGACAGUUCGGUCCCUAUCUGCCGUGGGCGCUGGAGAACUGAGGGGGGCUGCUCCUAGUACGAGAGGACCGGAGUGGACGCAUCACUGGUGUUCGGGUUGUCAUGCCAAUGGCACUGCCCGGUAGCUAAAUGCGGAAGAGAUAAGUGCUGAAAGCAUCUAAGCACGAAACUUGCCCCGAGAUGAGUUCUCCCUGACUCC